GUUGAACGCUCUAGCAAUAGAGAGUAGCGCACGGGUGCGUAACACGUGGGAAUAUGCCUUUUAGUACGGAACAACGUUUGGAAACGAACGCUAAUACCGUAUGGUCCCUUCGGGGUAAAGAUUUAUCGCCAAAAGAUUAGCCCGCGCUGGAUUAGCUAGUUGGUGAGGUAAUGGCUCACCAAGGCGACGAUCCAUAGCUGGUCUUAGAGGACGAUCAGCCACACUGGGACUGAGACACGGCCCAGACUCCUACGGGAGGCAGCAGUUAGGAAUAUUGGACAAUGGGCGCAAGCCUGAUCCAGCCAUGCCGCGUGAGUGAUGAAGGCCUUCGGGUUGUAAAACUCUUUAGCCGAUGAUUAUAAUGACUGUAGUCGGAAAAUAAGCCCCGGCUAACUUCGUGCCAGCAGCCGCGGUAAUACGAAGGGGGCGAGCGUUAUUCGGAAUCACUGGGCGUAAAGCGUGCGUAGGCCGUCUCACAAGUCAGAAGUGAAAGCCCAGGGCUCAACCCUGGAAUUGCUUUUGAAACUGUGAGACUCGAAUCUCGGAGAGGAUAGCGGAAUUGUCAGUGUAGCAGUGAAAUGCGUAGAUAUUGACAGGAACACCAGUGGCGUAAGCGGCUAUCUGGACGAGUAUUGACGCUGAGGCACGAAAGCGUGGGGAUCAAACAGGAUUAGAUACCCUGGUAGUCCACGCUGUAAACGAUGUGUGCUUGUCGCUGGGAGGUUUACCUUCCGGUGACGC
rnacentral:rRNA from 1 species